UGGGGAAUAUUGGACAAUGGGCGCAAGCCUGAUCCAGCAAUGCCGCGUGUGUGAAGAAGGCCUUCGGGUUGUAAAGCACUUUUAUCAGGAGCGAAACGCUGUCGGCUAAUACCCGGCGGAACUGACGGUACCUGAGGAAUAAGCACCGGCUAACUUCGUGCCAGCAGCCGCGGUAAUACGAAGGGUGCAAGCGNUAUGAUCGAAUACUGGGCGUAAAGCGUGCGUAGGCGGUUUCUUAAGUCUGCUGUGAAAUCCCCGGGCUCAACCUGGGAAUGGCAGUGGAUACUGGGAGGCUAGAGUGUGUCAGAGGGUGGUGGAAUUCCCGGUGUAGCGGUGAAAUGCGUAGAGAUCGGGAGGAACAUCAGUGGCGAAGGCGGCCACCUGGGACAACACUGACGCUGAGGCACGAAAGCGUGGGGAGCAAACAGGAUUAGAUA
rnacentral:rRNA from 1 species